GAGGUGCUUGGAGGAGGCACGCGUCGCAGGUUUGACUGUUUGGGCUAUGGUGAUCAUAAACCCCGGAUAACCGACGGAACAGGUACUUUCUGUGACCAACCAGGAGGAGAUAGUAGAAUUUUGUCGAAAAGAAGGUAUACCAAGACAAGCUCUAUAUGGAGGACAUGAAGUUCAAUUCUUUCAGGAAAGUUGCCAGAUCACUUGGGGUACUCUGGAGUAUGUGGCAGAAGGGGAAGCUACAUGUUGAUAUGUAAAAUUCCCUUCACGACUCGUUUAGGAAUAACGGAGUUUUGGAGAUGAUGUGAUGGGUGAGAUUCGCAAGGUGGCUUCUGUGACUCUUUGCCCCAACAUAAAUGGUGACUUGCGAUGGAUCCACCGAAGUAUAGAUCUGCGAUUGACAUUUUUAUUGGACCACUGGGUGAGCAUUUGCAACAAAGAGCCAGGGAGUAAGCUGGGAGCGGACAAACAUAAUGCCCUGAACAUGAGUUUGUCCUUGCAUAAUUAUCCAUGUCUGAUGGUAGGAAGAGACAGGAUCAGA